UACGUAGGGUGCGAGCGUUUAAUCGGAAUUACUGGGCGUAAAGUGUGCGCAGGCGGCCGCGCAAGUCGAGUGUGAAAGCCCCGGGCUUAACUUGGGAAUUGCGCUCGAAACUACGUGGCUGGAGUGUGGCAGAGGAAGGUGGAAUUCCAGGUGUAGCAGUGAAAUGCGUAGAGAUGUGGAGGAACACCGAUGGCGAAGGGCAGCCUCCUGGGCCA
rnacentral:rRNA from 1 species